rnacentral:rRNA from 1 species
GACGAACGCUGGCGGCGUGCUUAACACAUGCAAGUCGAACGGAAAGGCCUGCUUUCCCUUGUGGAUUGCGGGUACUCGAGUGGCGAACGGGUGAGUAACACGUGAGUGAUCUGCCCCCAACUUGGGUAUAAGCCUGGGAAACUGGGUCUAAUUCCCGAUAGGACUGCAGGGUGGUGCCUGUGGUGGAAAACGAUUUUCUAGUGGUUGGGGAUGAGCUCGCGGCCUAUCAGCUUGUUGGUGGGGUAAUGGCCUACCAAGGCGGCGACGGGUAGCCGGCCUGAGAGGGUGGACGGCCACAUUGGGACCGAGAUACGGCCCAGACUCCUACGGGAGGCAGCAGUGGGGAAUAUUGCACAAUGGGCGGAAGCCUGAUGCAGCGACGCCGCGUGGGGGAUGACGGCCUUCGGGUUGUAAACUCCUUUCGACCGCGAGGAAGCCACCUGGUUGGAAGGGUGGUGACGGUAGUGGUAGAAGAAGCACCGGCUAACUACGUG